rnacentral:hammerhead_ribozyme from 1 species
ACACUGCUGAAGAGUCCCAAACACGACUAAACAGCUGUCCAGUGA